UACGUAGGGGGCAAGCGUUGUCCGGAUUUAUUGGGCGUAAAGAGCGUGUAGGCGGUCUGGUAGGUCCGUUGUGAAAACUCGAGGCUCAACCUCGAGACGCCGAUGGAAACCCUCAGACUAGAGUCCGGAAGAGGAGAGUGGAAUUCCUGGUGUAGCGGUGAAAUGCGCAGAUAUCAGGAAGAACACCCGUGGCUAAGGCAGCUCGCUGGAACGGUACUGACGCUGAGGCGCGAAAGCGUGGGGAGCGAACAGG
rnacentral:rRNA from 1 species